AACAGGAAACCGCCCUGGCUGAGCGCAUCACACACCAGCCCUGAGCUGGCUCCUUUACCUCAGCAGUUCCCUCCCUAGAGGACAGCACUGACAGCUCUCCCUUCACAUCCAAGGACACCGGGGCUUUAAGAGACAGAGCCACAUCCUCAAGGCCACACACAGCAAAUGACAAGACUGACAACUGGAGGGAAGCAGUUCCUCAGUCACUCAGCUCCCACGGGGCAAAGCGGGGAUUCAAACUGAGACUCAAGACUUCCCUAUCAAGAUGUGAUUGGAAGAGGGUCCCACAGGAGCGAUUUUUGAAGUCAGACCAGUGAAAACAGCUGCU